UGGGGCAGUUACCCCAGUGCUGCUGUUCUCAUGAUAGUGAGUGAGCUCUCACAAGAUCUGAUGAUUUUAUAAGGGGCUUUCCCCCCUUUUGCUGGGCACUUCUCCUUGCUGCCACAAUGAGAAGAAGGACGUGUUUGCUUCCUCUUCCUCUAUGAAUUUUAAGUUUCCUGAGGCCUCCCCAGCCAUGGUGAACUACUCAGCCAGCAGAAGGAAGAAGCAGCUGGACAUCAGUGACUAUGGCUGGAUGUCAGAGAGAAGCAGCUGGACUUGAGAGCUACAGCUUGAUGGCAUAACUUCAGGGAAAAAUCCGGCCGGAGAUGGUCAGUCUUCAGAGGAAGAUUGCCUACCCCCUCCCCGUCACCUUUUCAGCUCCCCUUCCCACUGAGAUCCACUUUCAUUGGCAAUAAAAUCCCCCAC
rnacentral:lncRNA from 1 species